UGGGGAAUUUUGGACAAUGGACGCAAGUCUGAUCCAGCAAUGCCGCGUGCAGGAUGAAGGCCUUCGGGUUGUAAACUGCUUUUGUACGGAGCGAAAAGGCUCUACCUAAUACGUGGGGCUAAUGACGGUACCGUAAGAAUAAGCACCGGCUAACUACGUGCCAGCAGCCGCGGUAAUACGUAGGGUGCAAGCGUUAAUCGGAAUUACUGGGCGUAAAGCGUGCGCAGGCGGUUUUGUAAGACAGAGGUGAAAUCCCCGGGCUUAACCUGGGAACUGCCUUUGUGACUGCAAGGCUGGAGUACGGCAGAGGGGGAUGGAAUUCCGCGUGUAGCAGUGAAAUGCGUAGAUAUGCGGAGGAACACCGAUGGCGAAGGCAGUCCCCUGGGCCUGUACUGACGCU
rnacentral:rRNA from 1 species